GACGAACGCUGGCGGCGUGCUUAACACAUGCAAGUCGAACGAUGAAGCCGGAGCUUGCUCUGGUGGAUUAGUGGCGAACGGGUGAGUAACACGUGAGUAACCUGCCCUUGACUCUGGGAUAAGCGUUGGAAACGACGUCUAAUACCGGAUACGAGCUGGGACCGCAUGGUCACUAGCUGGAAAGAACUUCGGUCAAGGAUGGACUCGCGGCCUAUCAGCUUGUUGGUGAGGUAACGGCUCACCAAGGCGACGACGGGUAGCCGGCCUGAGAGGGUGACCGGCCACACUGGGACUGAGACACGGCCCAGACUCCUACGGGAGGCAGCAGUGGGGAAUAUUGCACAAUGGGCGCAAGCCUGAUGCAGCAACGCCGCGUGAGGGACGACGGCCUUCGGGUUGUAAACCUCUUUUUGCAGGGAAGAAGCGAAAGUGACGGUACCUGCAGAAAAAGCACCGGCUAACUACGUGCCAGCCGCCGCGGUAAAAC
rnacentral:rRNA from 1 species